AAGACUAAAACUCAAAGGAAUAGACGGGGACCCGCACAAGUAGUGGAUCAUGUGGUUUAAUUCGACGAUAAGCGAUAACCUUACCUGGGUUUGACAUAUAGCUGCACGCUCUAGAGAUAGAGAAGCCUUAGAGGGUGCUAUACAGGUGUUGCAUGGUUGCCGUCAGCUCGUGCCGUGAGGUGUACCCUUCAGUGGGGUAACGAGCGCAACCCACGUCUAGUGUUACACUUUCACUAGAGACUGCCUGCGCAAGCAGGAGGAAGGUGUGGAUGACGUCAAAUCAGCAUGACCCUUACAUCCAGGGCUACACACAUGAUACAAUGGCCAACACAACGGGUAGCCAAGCCGCAAGGUGGAGCCAAUCCCUUAAAGUUGGUCUCAGCUCGGAUCGGAGGCUGCAACUCGCCUCCGUGAAGUCGGAAUUACUAGUAAUCGCG
rnacentral:rRNA from 1 species